rnacentral:lncRNA from 1 species
UCGGCCCGCCUUGGCCCUCCAAAGUGCUGGGAUUACAGGCUUGAGCCACUGCGUCUAGCCCAACCUGUGGGAUUUUCUAUGGAGACAAUCAGGAGUUUUGGAGAUGGGUCUCGGCUGUGUUACCUAAGCUGGAGUGCAGUGGCUAUUCCCAGCACAAUCAUAGUGCACUACAGUCUCCAACUCCUGGGUUCAGGUGCUCCUUGUGCCUCCGCCUCCUGAAUAGCUGGGAUUGCAGGCAUGUGCCAUCAUGCCUGGCUAUGUGCCUUCAAAAAGACUACAGUUGUGGAUGGAGUGUUUUAUCAAUAUUAGUUGGUUUAUGAUUGUGUUUAGUUCCAUAUCCUAGCUGAUUUUCUAUCUGUUCUGUCCAUUCUUG